UUUAAGGAAGGAGCAAAACAAGAUGCCAGGCAGAGUUUUCAGCUUCAGAAAUUCAGACAUUGUUUUGACUCAUCAGGAUGGCCUGGCUUCUGCUUUUCUUUACAUUUCUCGGUUCCUUUGCAGGUGUCGAUUCACAGCCAACACUGACUCAGCCUGCCUCCCAGUCGGUGUCUCCUGGACAAACAACGACCCUUAACUGUUUGAAAGGCAGUGGCAGCUGGAACAGCGAUGUUCACUGGAUUCAACAGAAACCUGGGCAGGCCCCUCGUUUUGUGCACUGCAACGGCUGCAGCAGAGGAGAAGGGAUCCCCUACCGGUUCACUGCCUCCUCUUUAGGGAACACCGGAUCUCUAACCAUCACCGAUGUUGAGGCCGGAGACAAGGCCGUUUAUUACUGCCAUGUCUGGUCUAGCACUGCUAGCGUGGUCCACGGUGGUACAGCCUGAUGGGGAACUGAGACA